rnacentral:rRNA from 1 species
AGCGAACGCUGGCGGCAGGCCUAACACAUGCAAGUCGAACGAACUCUUCGGAGUUAGUGGCGGACGGGUGAGUAACACGUGGGAACGUGCCUUUAGGUUCGGAAUAACUCAGGGAAACUUGUGCUAAUACCGAAUGUGCCCUUCGGGGGAAAGAUUUAUCGCCUUUAGAGCGGCCCGCGUCUGAUUAGCUAGUUGGUGAGGUAAAGGCUCACCAAGGCGACGAUCAGUAGCUGGUCCUGAGAGGAUGAUCAGCCACAUUGGGACUGAGACACGGCCCAAACUCCUACGGGAGGCAGCAGUGGGGAAUCUUGCGCAAUGGGCGAAAGCCUGACGCAGCCAUGCCGCGUGAAUGAUGAAGGUCUUAGGAUUGUAAAUUCUUUCACCGGGGACGAUAAUGACGGUACCCGGAGAAGAAG